CGCUUUGUACUUACGAUCUUGUAUCCACUGACUGUCUUGUUAGAUUAAUCCAAUAAAUUUCAUUCACUCCGCAUACUCAAUCCUAUAAACACCCUUUUAAUCCUUUAAUCACAGACGUAACUCGAUUAUACAAAACAGUCAAGAGUACUCAAACCCACUUCAUUAAAAAUCCCGAUUCACCAUUACAACACUGACUUCAGCAACGAUUGCCUCAGUCUUCCCAAAACUCUAUGAAGAAGAAAAAUCCAAUUCUUCGUCUUUUCUUCUCCGAUCCGAA
rnacentral:lncRNA from 1 species